UACGGGGGGUGCAAGCGUUGUUCGGAUUUACUGGGCGUAAAGGGUGCGUAGGCGGCGCGGUAAGUCGGGUGUGAAAUCUCGGGGCUUAACUCCGAAACUGCAUUCGAUACUGCCGUGCUUGAGGACUGGAGAGGAGACUGGAAUUUACGGUGUAGCGGUGAAAUGCGUAGAUAUCGUAAGGAAGACCAGUGGCGAAGGCGGGUCUCUGGACAGUUCCUGACGCUGAGGCACGAAGGCCAGGGGAGCAAACGGG
rnacentral:rRNA from 1 species